AAUCUAUAGAGGCGUUUUCCGCGCCGGACCGCGUCCAAGUCUCUUGGAAUAGAGUAUCAAAGAGGGUGACAAUCCCGUACUUGACGCGACAACCGGUGCUCUGUGAUACGUUCUCAAUGAGUCGAGUUGUUUGGGAAUGCAGCUCUAAAUGGGUGGUAAAUUCCAUCUAAGGCUAAAUAUUGGCGAGAGACCGAUAGCGAACAAGUACCGUGAGGGAAAGAUGAAAAGCACUUUGGAAAGAGAGUUAACAGCACGUGAAAUUGUUAAAAGGGAAACGAUUGAAGUCAGUCGUGUGAAAGGUAUUCAGCCGUCUCUGGCGGUGUAUUUGCCUUUCACGGGUCAACAUCAGUUUGAUCCGGUAGAAAAAGGCGGGAGGAAGGUGGCACCCUCGGGUGUGUUAUAGCCUCCUGUCAUAUGUGCCGGACCAAUCCAUACACACCGUGAACUGUGGCUUCGGGUA
rnacentral:rRNA from 1 species